CGGGGCGUGGCUCAGUCCGGCAGAGCGCUGCGUUCGGGACGCAGAGGUCCCCGGUUCAAAUCCGGGCGCCCCGA
rnacentral:tRNA from 1 species